UACGUAGGGGGCAAGCGUUGUCCGGAAUCAUUGGGCGUAAAGCGCGUGUAGGCGGCCCGAUAAGUCCGCUGUGAAAGUCCAGGCUCAACCCUGGGAUGCCGGUGGAUACUGUCGGGCUCGAGUCCGGAAGAGGAGUGUGGAAUUCCUGGUGUAGCGGUGAAAUGCGCAGAUAUCAGGAGGAACACCAAUGGCGAAGGCAGCACUCUGGGACGUGACUGACGCUGAGACGCGAAAGCGUGGGGAGCAAACAGG
rnacentral:rRNA from 1 species